rnacentral:SRP_RNA from 1 species
UAUGCCCCGACCGACGUCAAUGUCACGAACUCCGCCAGGACCGGAAGGUAGCAACGGUAGUGAAAUACGGGUGGUCGGGGCACUUUU